rnacentral:rRNA from 1 species
GACGAACGCUGGCGGCGUGCUUAACACAUGCAAGUCGAACGGAAAGGCCCUGCUUUUGUGGGGUGCACGAGUGGCGAACGGGUGAGUAACACGUGAGUAACCUGCCCUUGACUUUGGGAUAACUUCAGGAAACUGGGGCUAAUACCGGAUAGGAGCUCCUGCUGCAUGGUGGGGGUUGGAAAGUUUCGGCGGUUGGGGAUGGACUCGCGGCUUAUCAGCUUGUUGGUGGGGUAGUGGCUUACCAAGGCUUUGACGGGUAGCCGGCCUGAGAGGGUGACCGGCCACAUUGGGACUGAGAUACGGCCCAGACUCCUACGGGAGGCAGCAGUGGGGAAUAUUGCACAAUGGGCGGAAGCCUGAUGCAGCAACGCCGCGUGCGGGAUGACGGCCUUCGGGUUGUAAACCGCUUUCGCCUGUGACGAAGCGUGAGUGACGGUAAUGGGUAAAGAAGCACCGGCUAACUACGUG